rnacentral:tRNA from 1 species
GGGGCUGUGCCUGAAUUAUAGGGCCAUUUUGAUAGAAUGAAAAAUGGAGGUUAAAAUCCUCCCAGCCCUU